AUUGAACGCUGGCGGCAGGCCUAACACAUGCGAGUCGAGCGGAUGAAGGGAGCUUGCUCCUGGAUUCAGCGGCGGACGGGUGAGUAAUGCCUAGGAAUCUGCCUGGUAGUGGGGGAUAACGUCCGGAAACGGGCGCUAAUACCGCAUACGUCCUGAGGGAGAAAGUGGGGGAUCUUCGGACCUCACGCUAUCAGAUGAGCCUAGGUCGGAUUAGCUAGUUGGUGGGGUAAAGGCCUACCAAGGCGACGAUCCGUAACUGGUCUGAGAGGAUGAUCAGUCACACUGGAACUGAGACACGGUCCAGACUCCUACGGGAGGCAGCAGUGGGGAAUAUUGGACAAUGGGCGAAAGCCUGAUCCAGCCAUGCCGCGUGUGUGAAGAAGGUCUUCGGAUUGUAAAGCACUUUAAGUUGGGAGGAAGGGCAGUAAGUUAAUACCUUGCUGUUUUGACGUUACCAAAAGAAUAAGCACCGGCUAACUUCGUG
rnacentral:rRNA from 1 species